rnacentral:misc_RNA from 1 species
GAAAUGCGAUAAGUAAUGUGAAUUGCAGAAUUCAGUGAAUCAUCGAAUCUUUGAACGCACCUUGCGCUCCUUGGUAUUCCGAGGAGCAUGCCUGUUUGAGUGUCAUGAAACCCUCAAACCCAAGCAUGGACCGAAAUCCAAAACUUGGGUUUGAGGGUUUCAUGACACUCAAGCUUUCUUGCUUGGUCUUGGAGGCAGAGCAGCCCAAUCGGCGCGCCUCUCCUCUGAAAUUCAAUGGCGGUCUGGUUCUGUUACCUUGCGUAGUAAGCUUUUGCCUCGUAAAGUGAACACGAAUCGGCUUGCCGGUGAAUCCCCACAUUUCUCCAGGUUGACCUCGGAUCAGGUAGGGAUACCCGCUGAACUUAA